ensembl:lncRNA
UUUCCAAUGAGUAGUAGCUUACAAAGAGCCGCAGAUAAUUUAUUCAAUAGAGCCCAGACAAUGGUAGGUGCAGACGGGAGAUGGAAUUCUCUGCGGAAUUUGAAGACAAUGCGCUGGCCUUUAGGUCACUCCGUUAGGGUCACGCUUAGGGAGAAAACGUCACGAGGUCAGACAAAUGGGAGGGCAACGGUAGUGUAAUUUUUCAAUCUGUGGACAGGGUAACGCGUGGUGUGUGUCGGGGAGGGGGAGGAGGUGCGAGCAUAAUUUGUGCGCAUUGUCUGCGGGAGAGGACGCGCCGAGAGAAAGCGGACGGGACUGCACGGUAGCAAGGCAGACCCGUCGAGAGCAGCAGGAGAAAGUAGACUCGCCGUAUAACACACAAGUUCCCGUUUCUCUUGCCUCAGUUUAGUUGAUCUUUGUAAACACGGCAUUCGUGAUAGGGAACUUCUGCCUCCAACUGUUGGGGAUUGUAAGCGUCACGGCUAUUUUUUUUUAACUUCGAACGAGGCAAACACAGUAAGGUACUCGUGUUUAGAUGGAGAAACUGGAGAACUGAACCCAAGUACGACUCAGUGUAAAAUAUACUUUAUUUGAGCGACGUGCGUGUUUUUGGCCGGAAAGUCAUUUCACUGAGGUGGACUCCGCUCUGAAGAAAGAUUUAUAUACUGGUGGAUGUAGGCUAUCUCGCGUAGUAAUCCAAAAGAGUGGACUGCCGCGGGACGAAAGAUCCUCGCAUCAAGCGGAGACCGUUGGGAAAUCACCAGCCACCCCACAUGUUUGAGUUUCAGCCCCCGGUGCACGCGGAGCACCUGUUCAGGACACUGUAUUUCACAGAGGUCGUCAGGCCGGGACUAUGGCUGGAUAUUAAAUGCCGUUUGUUACUCCGUCAUCCAUUCAGAAAAUAUUUAGCAUUUUUGCUGAAGAGACGGGGCUGAUAGUUCACUGAAGAAACGGCAAGACAGCCUAUAACUCUAAAGUUUCUAAAGUCUCUUGAACUGGAUACUCUAUCCCCGAACAUUUUAUACAGGUUAUUUGAAAUAGAUAACUAUUCAAGACCACAGGAAGACCUUUCAUCUAUGGAAUAACCUCACUGUUUUGACGCUGAGGAAGUGCCUAAUCUGGGUAAGACAUUUAUUCACACAAACUCGCUUCCCAGUCAUGGGAAACCUUUGUUUAAAAACAGUGCGCAACCAUAACCAAAUGAUUCAUUUGGGAGUGUAUCUUGCCCUGUUCAUUUGUAUUACGGGUUGCACUAUUCGAACGACACUAUUAUACUCUUUGCAACAAUUAAAUUAAAUAAAUCUAUUGGUCUAGGUAAACAACAAAGAACGUGUCAGGUGUGCAGAGUAGGUUAACGUGAGAUCUCCCAACCCCCUGUUUGGCUGAGAACAAUACGACCCCUGGGUGCCGUGGACUCUACACUAUUCCGAUAGGGACGUGCAGCCAACCGCAGGCUGCUAAUUCCCCAUUUCCUAAUUUAGCUUUCAUCGCCCUGUGAUGUUCGCUAUUUUGAACAGUGGGCAGACGUGUAUUAACGUGCACCUGCCAUGUCCGAUAUGUCUCCGGAGGCCUCGGGACCUGCUGUCCUGCCACCAGCCAGUGUGUCCCGUGCUGGAGAAGUGUCGCGCGGCGCACUAACGUGACUCACUGACCUAUUUGUGAGCCAUACUGCUGUCUCUUACUACACCUGUUAAUGCCGUGGCGUUAAGGCGCUCUUGCUUUAAACCUUCCCCGGUAGCUGCAGCUCUUCAUGUCUGCAAACAGGCCAAUAAUCUACUGGACAAUCAGCUGCUGUUUUCCCGACUCCGUACGCGGGACCUGCGCACCCAUGCGUGCCGCUAUCCGCGCUGGUAGUAGUAUUGGUGAUCGAUGAGGGGGUUCGAUGCUACUAUUACCAAUGCGGAAAUAGUAAAUCCCAGUCAUGUCCACGCUGCCACAACUGUUGGAAAGCAUCCCAGACUUGUGUUUUACUAUUGACUCUAGAUGCAUUGAAAACAUCCCAGACUACUGGCACUAGAUGCAUUGGCAGUGCAGUGAUUCGCAUAGUUUAUAGUUGAAGUUUAUAAACUGCGCACAUGUGUUACACACACGUUAUUAACACCUCCGAAGGGUACCCACAAGACCUGUUAGCUCACAGUUGCUCUGCACACACAUAUACACACCAACUACAUAAACAUGUGUCUGCAUCAUGGUCUGUAGCACCCUUUACAGUCACCACUUUGCUCUGUGUUUGCUGUCAUAUUAGUGAUCGCAUGGACCAGAAAGAGCUGUGUUUGCUGUCAUAUUAGUGAUGCAUGUACCAGUAAGAGCUGUGUUUGCUGUCAUACAGUAUUAGUGAUGCAUGGACCAGUAAAAGCUGUGUUUGCUGUGUCAGUGAUUGCAUGGAUCAGUAAGAGCUGUGUUUGCUGUCAUAUUAGUGAUGCAUGGAUCAGUAAGAGCUGUGUUUGCUGUGCCAGUGAUUGCAUGGACCAGUCAGAGCUGUGUUUGCGGUGCCAGUGAUUGCAUUGACCUGUAAGAGCUGUGUUUGCUGUGCCAGUGAUUGCAUGGACCAGUCAGAGCUGUGUUUGCUGUCAUAUUAGUGAUGCAUGGAUCAGUAAGAGCUGUGUUUGCUGUGCCAGUGAUUGCAUGGACCAGUCAGAGCUGUGUUUGCUGUCAUAUUAGUGAUGCAUGGAUCAGUAAGAGCUGUGUUUGCUGUGCCAGUGAU